GAUGAACGCUGGCGGCGUGCCUAAUACAUGCAAGUCGAGCGAACGGACGCGAAGCUUGCCUCUCUGAUGUUAGCGGCGGAAGUAUGAGUACCGCGUGGGUCCCCUACCUAUAAGUAUGGGAUAAAUUCGGGAAACCGUAGCUAAUACCGGCUAAUAAUUUGAACCGCAUGGCUGACAAGUAUAAUACGGUUUUGCCGUUACUUAUAGCUGGUUCCGCGUUGCAUUAGCUAGUUGGUAAGGUAACGGCUUACCAAGGCAACGAUGCAUAGCCGACCUGAGAGGGUGAUCGGCCACACUGGAACUGAGACACGGUCCAGACUCCUACGGGAGGCAGCAGUAGGGAAUUUUCCGCAAUGGGCGAAAGCCUGACGGAGCAACGCCGCGUGAGUGAUGAAGGUCUUCGGAUCGUAAAACUCUGUUAUUAGGGAAGAACAUAUGUGUAAGUAACUGUGCACAUCUUGACGGUACCGAAUCAGAAAGCCACGGCUAACUACGUG
rnacentral:rRNA from 1 species